UAGCUCCAAGUUCCUUCCCGAUAGAGCU
rnacentral:piRNA from 1 species